CUGGUGUCAGCCGCCGCGGUAAUACCAGCACCCCGAGUGGUCGGGAUGAUUAUUGGGCCUAAAGCAUCCGUAGCCGGUUCUGCAAGUCCUCCGUUAAAUCCAGCCGCUCAACGGAUGGGCCGCGGAGGAUACUAUAGGACUAGGAGGCGGGAGAGGCAAGCGGUACUCAGUGGGUAGGGGUAAAAUCCUUUGAUCCAUUGAAGACCACCAGUGGCGAAGGCGGCUUGCCAGAACGCGCUCGACGGUGAGGGAUGAAAGCUGGGGGAGCAAACCGGAUUAGAUACCCGGGUAGUCCCAGCUGUAAACGAUGCAGACUCGGUGAUGGGCUAGCCUUGUGCCAGCCCAGUGCCGCAGGGAAGCCGUUAAGUCUGCCGCCUGGGGAGUACGGUCGCAAGACUGAAACUUAAAG
rnacentral:rRNA from 2 species